rnacentral:rRNA from 1 species
UACGGAGGGUGCAAGCGUUAUCCGGAUUCACUGGGUUUAAAGGGUGCGUAGGUGGGCAGGUAAGUCAGUGGUGAAAUCUCCGGGCUUAACUCGGAAACUGCCAUUGACACUAUCUGUCUUGAAUACCGUGGAGGUCAGCGGAAUAUGUCAUGUAGCGGUGAAAUGCUUAGAUAUGACAUAGAACACCAAUUGCGAAGGCAGCUGGCUACACGAAUAUUGACACUGAUGCACGAAAGCGUGGGGAUCAAACAGG